UGCGGGGUGCAGGCACAGCCUGGACUGUGUCUGCCCUGUGUCUGGGGCUGUCAAGCCCAGGGCCACGUGUCCUAGCCGCCACGCGCCACCCCAUGGGUCCCCCAUGGGAGGCAGAGCCCAGGGGAUUCUGGAAGGCAGAGCGGCACGAAUGCCAGCUGACACUUCCACCCACGAUUGACAAGGAGCCGAUGGGCCUCGGCAGAGGACACGGCUGGUGAUGAACGUGCCGGCGUCUUCAUUGACAGGGCGGGGGGCGCCGCCCACGCUCUGGGAAGCCCCGCAGAGUGGAGACACGGACUGGCCGGACUGGCCGGGGAGCACCAGGUCUGAAGCAGAUAUCUGGCAUGCCAUAAGAGCACUGGUUUGAGCCCCGGUUGCUCCACUUCUGACCCAGCUCCCUGCUAAUGUGCCUGGGAAAGCAGCAGAGGAUGGCCCAGGUACUUGGGCCCCUGCCACCUACACAGGAGACCCAGAUGGAGCUCCUGGAUUUGGCCUGGCCUGCUCCUGGCUGUUGCAGUCAUUGGAGAGUGAACUAGUAGAUGGAAGAUCUCUCUUUCUCUCUCUCUCUCUCUCUCUCUCUGAAACUCCGCUUUUCAAAUAAGUAACAACAUAAAAUCUUUUAAAAGGGAGAAAAAUUGGGUCCUGUAUUGUGGCUCAGUGGGUAAAGCCACUGCCUGCAGUGUCAGCAUCCCAUAUGGGAGCUGGUUCGAGUCCAGGCUGCUCUACUUCCUACCCAGCUCCCUGUUAAUGUGUCUGGGAAAGCAGCAGAGGGCAGCCCAAGUCCUGGGGCCCCUGCACCCACGUGGGAGACCCCGGAACAAGCUCCUGGCUUCAGAUCAGCACAGCUCCGGCUGACUGGGUGGUGGCACAGCAGGGGAAGCAGCUGCCUGCGACUUCAGCAUCCCAAAUGAGAGCUGGUUCGAGUCCCUGCUCCUCUGCUUCUGAUCCAGCUCACUGCUGAUGUGCCUGGGAAAGCAAAAGAUGACCUCUGUGCUUGGUCCCUCCACCCACGGGGGAGACUUGGUUGGAAUUCCUGGCUCUUAGCUUUGGCCUGACCCAGCCCUGGCCGCUGUGACCAUUUAGGGUGUGAACCAGCAGAUGGAAGGCCCCCCCCCCCACUCUUCCUCUGUAACUCUGCCUUUCAAGUAAAUAAUAAAUAAAUCUGAGAAGAAAAGACAUGGAGGAAACGUAAAGGCUUGUGAUGAAGUGAGAGAAGCCGAUCUGAUAGGGCCCUGUACUGUGUGACCGCAGCGACAGGACACUCUGGGAGAGGCAAAGCCGCGGCUGCCAGGGCCGGCGGGAAGGAGGGGGCGCAGGUGGAACUCGGAGGGUUUUUAGGGCAGUGUUCUGAAGGACACCGCAGUGGUAGAUCCCGGUCAUCACACACUUACCAGAGACCCUGAACGACACCCAGAGUGAACCCCGGUAUGAACCACGGGCUUAGGGUGAGCACGGUGUGUCAGUGUCAGUUCAGGGGAUCUCACAGAAGGUCCAGUCUGCUGGGGGGUGGGGUGUUACGUAGGCGUAGGGGUGAGGAGUGUAUGGGAAAUGUCUAGAAAUAAAAACUCCAUUAAACAAAGAAGAGGACAGGAAGGAAGGGAAGAAACGAGAGCUGUGGACUUGCUGCCACCCCCCUCCCCCAUGCCCUCCCCUCGUGUCCGUUGCUUGCUGCCUGGAGUUGGGACCGCCCUACCAUGGCCAUGUGUGUGCUCCCUAAGUGGCUGGUCGCUUGCCCCUGGCCUCUACCGCUGCCUCCUCUUUUGAUUUUCCAGCGGGGGGCGCCAGCCCAGCUGGAAGCUUCUGGGUCACUACGAUCCCUGUGCUAACCUUGCCGCGACCCCCUCGCCCCCCACCUGGCCCCUCCGUUCCGCCUGCCAACCCACUGAUCUUCCAGAAGGAAUUUCAUAACCCAAUGCCAGCUAAGCCCUGCCCUGGUCUAAACGCGUACCCUGCCGCCCAACUGGGGAGAAGCAAAUCCAAGGCUGCAGACAGAAGACAACCCUGGCUAACUCAUUAGCACCACCUCCAGCCAAGCUUCGUCUCGCCUCCUCCCGUGCCAGACUACAGCAAGAGGAAAAACAUCUUCCCGCCCCUCCCUCCAGGGGCGGAGCCGUCACGCGGAACAGCCUUGAGGGGAGCCCACCGACUGUGCACCCCACUUCAUUUCCCAAGCCUUGAUUAAGACUGUCAGAGGCAUUAAGCUCCGCCAAAAUGAAGGCGCCCCCGCCCCCGUGAGCAAUACAAAAUACAGUCGAUUCCGAGCCGCCAAACCCUCGUGAACGUGAGCAAGCCCUUCAACAUUUUGAAUUUUUCCAUGAUGCCUGCUUUGAAGUCUUCCGUGUAUUUGAAAUAGACGACAGGAGCUGCUUCAAUGGCUUCUCCUUCUUGGCUGGGUCCCCGAGUGUGGGUUUAGUGUGCUCGCCGCUGGGAGCUGUAAUUAGCUCUCCC